rnacentral:tRNA from 1 species
GAGGGUAUAGAUCAGUGGUAGACUACAUGCUUAGCAUGCACGAGGUCCUGGGUUCAAUCCCCAGUUCCUCUG